rnacentral:lncRNA from 1 species
AACACAUCAGAGCUUGGCAGGGCUGCAUGGGUACAUUAGCGAACAGACAGAACACCCUGGCUCCUCAGGCGCUCCUUGUUUUUUUCCCUCUGGACCAGCAGAUUUUUCUUACAGCUUACACCUGCUCCUCCCCCACCCCCAACAACAUGCAGAAAUGGAAAGCCCCUCAAGUUUUCCUUGAUCAAGAGGUUAAAUAAAAAAACAACUCUCUCUCACACUCUAAGGGAAAGGAAAAUAAAAACCACCAGUAGCUAAGACACACACACACACACACACACACACAUUUGGCAGAAAUAAAUUAAGAAAAAUCAUUCUAUCUAUGAGACCAUUCUGAAACUAAGUGAUGCAUGGCCCAAAAACAUAUAACAUGGCAUAAAGUCAGGAUUGUUAUAACCUUGGGGAUCCCAAGGCUCUGUGCUCCCUCCGUGGAUGC